rnacentral:tRNA from 1 species
GAGGGUAUAUCUUAAGCGGUAGAGCACAUGCUUAGCAUGCAUGAGGUCCUGGGUUCAAUCCCCAGUACCUCCU